GUUGCAGUGAGCCAAGAUCACGCCACAAAGAAAUGUAUCAGAUUUAAGUUGGGUUGAUCUCAAAGUGAAGGAUGGAGAAAUGAAUUCUCUAUUGUCAUAAGGAAAAGGGAAGUCAUGAAGUUAGAAGGAAGAGAAAGGAGCUCCAGCCUUGCAUUCUUUGGGUGUGGAGAGGAGCAGAGCAGAAUGGAGCCUGCAGGUCAUGCCAGGAGUCACCGCAAGGCUGUGGCUGUCAGCUCAGAAUUCCAUCAUCACUUGGGAGAUUUCUGCGAAUCAUCACUAAAGCCAUUCACUUUCUCAUAACUAAACAAGAAUCUUCUUCUGGAGUUAAGUAUCAGAUAUGAAUGUUCUCACUGACCUCAGGAAGCAAAAGUCCUAAAUCAUUAUAUGGCAGUGAAGGUACAAAAAAAAAAAAAAAUCAGCAGGAAAUAAAGCGGAACUGCUGCCAACACAUACAAGCUGCAGUAGCACCCACAAAAUGUGUAGUAUCUAUUCUAACACAUUCAUUGGACUGAUUACAUUGGCUCAUAGACUUGGUUAACUCUGGAAGAACAUAAUAGGUGUUUAUUGUUUACUAUGGGGAUGGGAAACAUAAUUAAGUCUAUAGUCUCCAAUUCUUCUCAAGUUCAAAUGAAACCAACACUUUUGGUUUUGUCUUAAC
rnacentral:lncRNA from 1 species